rnacentral:rRNA from 1 species
AGCGAACGCUGGCGGCAGGCCUAACACAUGCAAGUCGAACGAACCUUUCGGGGUUAGUGGCGGACGGGUGAGUAACACGUGGGAACGUGCCUUUAGGUUCGGAAUAACUCAGGGAAACUUGUGCUAAUACCGAAUGUGCCCUUCGGGGGAAAGAUUAAUCGCCUUUAGAGCGGCCCGCGUCUGAUUAGCUAGUUGGUAGAGGUAAUGGCUCACCAAGGCGACGAUCAGUAGCUGGUCUGAGAGGAUGAUCAGCCACAUUGGGACUGAGACACGGCCCAAACUCCUACGGGAGGCAGCAGUGGGGAAUCUUGCGCAAUGGGCGAAAGCCUGACGCAGCCAUGCCGCGUGAAUGAUGAAGGUCUUAGGAUUGUAAAAUUCUUUCACCGGGGACGAUAAUGACGGUACCCGGAGAAGAAGCCCCGGCUAACUUCGUG